GGCUAGUAGGCAAAACGAAUAAAUCCAACAAAAGAGUAGAAGAUACAACGGGAGAAUCGGUCGAAUUUUGACCUUAGUUUAACCUAUUACUUCUAAAAAAGGAUUUCUUCGUGAGAGUUCAAAAUUGGAACUAGGAUUAGAUACCCUACUACCACUAAAAGUAAAAAAUAAAUGCCUGGGGAUUACGAACUUCUACGUUUAAAACCUAAAGAGCUUGGCGGCUCCGCAAAAGUCCAGGGGAGCCUGUCACGUAAUCGAUACUCCGCGUAAAUUUUUACCUCUUUUAGAAAAACAGCUUGUAUACCCCCGUAAAGUUAACCUUUAAAAGAACAAACAGUUAGCAGGAAAAACAAAACCUUUAAUAGUUCAGGUCAAGGUGCAGCCCAUAAAGAGGAAGUCCGAUUUGCUACGUUUAACUCAUAAUUGAAUUUUGUCAAAGAAAUAGACUUAAGAAACAGUACUUGGAAGUAACUUUUGUUUAACAAGCACUAGUGAAAAUCUUUCCUGCAGAGUGUACAAAUUGCCCGUCAAUCCUCCCGCUUCCAGGGAGGAUAA
rnacentral:rRNA from 1 species